rnacentral:piRNA from 1 species
UCAGACGUUCUGGUGGAAAUUAGCUUCUGA